CACAUGCAAGUCGAGGGCAGCAUGGUCUUAGCUUGCUAAGGCCGAUGGCGACCGGCGCACGGGUGAGUAACACGCAUCCAACCUGCCGUCUACUCUUGGACAGCCUUCUGAAAGGAAGAUUAAUACAAGAUGGCAUCAUGAGUUCACAUGUUCACAUGAUUAAAGGUAUUCCGGUAGACGAUGGGGAUGCGUUCCAUUAGAUAGUAGGCGGGGUAACGGCCCACCUAGUCUUCGAUGGAUAGGGGUUCUGAGAGGAAGGUCCCCCCACAUUGGAACUGAGACACGGUCCAAACUCCUACGGGAGGCAGCAGUGAGGAAUAUUGGGCAAUGGGCGCAAGCCUGACCCAGCAACGCCGCGUGAAGGAAGAAGGCUUUCGGGUUGUAAACUUCUUUUAAGAGGGAAGAGCAGAAGACGGUACCUCUUGAAUAAGCCACGGCUAACUACGUG
rnacentral:rRNA from 1 species